GGGAUUUCAAUAGCUUGGCUGGUUGGCGCUUCGUUCACAUCGAAGAUGUCAGGGGUCCAAAUCCCUUAUCACCCACCA
rnacentral:tRNA from 1 species